rnacentral:ncRNA from 2 species
GAAUCAUCGAGAGCGGUGUAGGGACGGGCCCUGUGAUACCGCGGCAACCAGUUCGAUACGUCGAACCAGGUGCCAAUGCCCGAGCGAUGGCGGCGGGAGGGACGAUGU